AAUAAUAGUAUUCAUUUAUCUUGACAGUGGUCCUGUUGCUAAAGGGCUCUGAAACCUGCAAGGUGAGCCCAGAUCCAUGUGCUUUUCUUUAAGUGGUGGUGAGACAGGGCCGCAAGGGUGGUGUGGAGACGCUGAUCUCCCAGGCUGUGUUUAUUAAACAGUGAGCCAACCUUUGUAUCCACGUGAGCCAGAACUUUUGAUCAGCAUUGAGGACUCAGAGAUGAUGGGCCAAAUCCAAGUGCUUAAGGAACUGAGCACGUUGAGGGAGGAGGUGUGACAGGGUCAGUGUCUUUGGCCAGUGCAGCGGGAGCCUGGGGUAAGGGAUAGGAAGGCAGAUCCCCCACCUCUCAAGGUCUAGAGUGGAGAUAUCUUUCACCCUGGCUGCACCAAGCAGACAAGAACUAAAGCUAAACUUCCGUGGCCCCUUAAAAGGCUCAGACUUUUUAAGUGAACAGGCUAGAAAGUCCAUGCUUUAUUAGUGGACUUAUCACAGAAACUGGCACAGAAGAGGCAGACAAAAUGAAUUGUGAAGUAAAUUAGUCAAAUCCAUGAAGAGUCAGUGCGUUGCAUUUUUAUACAUAAUAGAUGUGUUCACUCAAACCGUGCAUAAACCAUGACCAAACAUGGAGGUCAGAUACAAACUGGAGAGCUUUCCCACCAAGAAAUCUGCUAAUGAAACCUUCCACAAGAGAACAGACCAUUUUAUUGUGGGUAAAAUUCCACUGCUUAUGUCAUUGUUCUGGAAAGGGUUCUAUUUGAGCCCCAAAUGGUUCUGCUUGAGAACAAUUAGAAGAAUGCUUAAGAGUACUGAAUGGAAGUCCUGUUUCAGAAGCUAAGGAUUCAACGGACUGGAAGAGAUCUCAGGAAUCUGCAUCCUGAAAUCUCUUUUAGGGAAAUCUCCAGAGUGAGGAGUUGGUUGGAACAUCACAAUCUGAGGAAUGCAGGAGGCCAGAAGAGGAAUCUAGAGAGUAAAGAUGGAUCCAUGUGCAGGACUGGAGGCUGCAGACUGAGAGUUAAAAGAGGUCUCCAGCGGUCACCAAGUUCACUCCUGACAGCCCAGGGUGCUGGACUCAGGCUCACAGGAAGUGGGAAGAGGAUCUGAAGCCCUGAAGCCCGACUGGCUGCGGAAAUUGACAUCAGGUGCCAGACAGGCAUUUGCUUAGCAAACUGGCUAAUUUUAACCUCUGCCUCCAGGACCAAAACUCUUUUGAAGACAAGGAAUAAAAAAGCAAGUGAUAUUUAAC
rnacentral:lncRNA from 1 species